rnacentral:lncRNA from 1 species
GUGCGUGUGUUUCUUACCUCACUGCUCAGGCAUUCCAGUAGAGAAAGUGGUGUGAAGAGAAAGAGCGGCUCUCACAGUGUGGGUAUUCAUGUCUGUGAACACUGGAGCCCAGUCCGGGCUCCAGUGUUCACAGACAAAGCCUCUCCAGCAGGACCCAGACACACUCACACAGAAAGGGAGCGACAUAAGCAGAGGGACACAGGAUUGGGGGAGACUAGGUAACAAGGGGGAGAAAACAGAGAAGGGGCGGGAGAGGGUAAAUAUGUGGCAGCUCCCUUUCAACUGUGAAUGCAGGUGUGAUGGUUUGUCAUCUAUACUGGACAAAGCAUCACACCUGCUCUGCACUGCAACGGUUUUGUCACCAAAAUGACCAGUUCAUUAAGUCACUGCCCUCAGACUAUGAAGUCCCAAAUUUCAGAGUUAGAGGGGAUAACUGUCACUCAGAUGUAUUGUUCUCUUUCCUCGAAGACAUAACAGCGUUGGAAGACACUUGCACAACCUGCUGCUUACCGCCAUCUUUAUAGUUUUUUUCUAGCGCUGUUGGCAGAGUUCAUAAAUCCACCACAUCUCUCCUCCUAAAAGGGUCCUCCCUCUCUUACUUAUACCAGCCAAUCCCGUCGCUCUCUUUCAGUGCUCUCUACUCCCUCUAGCUUUGAGCCAGCAGCCCAAGCUCUUAGGAUUUCAUGAGACUUUCUUCCACUUGGCCGUCCCGUCACUGCUCCCCCUGCCUGGCCCCUUCCCUAGAUCGGGUAGCCUGGUUCACUGUGUCCUUAAACAACCUGUGUGCAUGUACAGGAAAGGGGCCCCAAAGUGGGGAGGACCAUCUCUAACCCUUCAUUUCGAAAAAGAGACAUAGUCGUACUAGAAAAUGACUGCACUGACUUUUCUUAAUCAAUAAACGUCAGUGCAUCAUUUCCACUGUCUCCAUCACCAAAAAUCUCAGUGUUAUCUGCAGAGUAAAUAUCGACAGGCAGAGUCGAUUUACAUACAAACUCAUCUUUCCGCAUGCGGCUCUUUAACCAGUGCCGUUAAGGGUUUGCUCUAUCUGUUAGAAUCCUUAUAUUUGACUUCAGGGUGAAACCUCAUCAAGGGAUUCGCUCUUGUUGAUUUAAAGCAUUUUAAGCAAGGCUGGGGGUCGAGUUAUUUGAUGAUAUUUCAGGACACAUUUCUUUAUUUUCACCUGGAUUAGAUAAAGGAAAAAAAAAAUCAGUUUUGAAAUUCUUCUUAAUAAAAACUACUUUUUAACACAUGCAGUAAACCACUUUUUUUAAUAGCAGAAACUGUAACUUUUGACUUUGAUCACCAUACUGCUCACCCCAUCUCUCCAUCUAUAUUACUCACCCUCACAUGAGGCACUUGUCGUUUUUGAGAUCGAUGAAUCUAUAGGUGGAUGGAUAGAUGGCACCAGCUCGUAAUAGAUGGCCUCUCCCUGAAUGUGCUGAGUCACAGAGCAUGAGUCUGCAGGAGCCAGAAAACAGGCAGCAGACAGAUGAUGUUGGAUGUGGUUUCUGGAGUGAUAUUAAUGAUCCGGGUAGAGUUAUGCAUCAGCAGUUAUAUGUUUGAAGAGUUAAAGUCGAUAUUACAGACUUUAUGGGCAUGUCAGUGAUUUUGGUGGUCUGUUAAUUCUGCACAUUCACUGCAUUCAUCAUAAAUUUGUACAAACUUUAACAGCUCGGUCUUUACUCAAAGGCUGCACCAGUACAGAUUUAUGUUAGGUGUAUGUUAGAUCCCACACUGAUAAAGUAGCAGCAACUAAAUCAUGUGCAUGUUGUCUAUAGAAAAGGUUUCUGUGGAAGAACGAACAGAUGCUGCUGCUGCUGUUGUUGUUUUUUUCACUGGAUUGCUUCACAGUGUUGGGGAUGGAAGGCAGUAAAUGUUGUCAGUGUGCUCCUAAUUUUUCUUAAGAUAAAUACAACAUCUGAUUAGCUCUUCUGCUGCAAAGAAAGUGUUACAAUCAGUUUCAAGGCUGCACCUCAAAUUAAGUGAGUGAACCUGCUUAAAUGAAGACAAGAGAAGCCUCUGAUUGGGUUUGAUUUGCAGAUGUUUUUGGAUGCACUUCAAGUAUCGGACUGAUUAGAAUCAGCCUCCUUUAUUGUUAGCAAUACAUGUAUAAAUGAAGCUGGCAAUUCUAUGGGUGUUAAGAAAAAAAACAACACUUAUUUCUCUUUAUUAAGAUGAAUAUUUAGAUCACAAAACAGACAAGCCAUCUGAAAUAUAUCUAAGUGAAGUUGGGGUUUGUGGAUUUAAGAAAUUUGAUGAGGAACACACAUGUUAUGGCUCUGUCUUCAUUUUUUUAAAGAUUUUUUCUGCAGCAGCUGUGGUGGUGAAUGAGUUAAGUCUCAUCGGGUAUAUGUCUCAGUAAGUCAUUCAUAACAUAAUGCAGGUGCAGUCUGCAGAGGGGAUGCGCAAUAUUGUUUUCUUGCCAUUUUUUUUUUUCAAACUGAUUUUGGCCAGUAUCAGUAUUGAGAUAUGCACACCAUUUAAUUUUUUUAUCGUAGUGAAUGCAAAGUUUUUCCAGUACCAGAAUUUACAUAUUACUUGUCUAUUUAUUAUAAUUAUAAAUCCUUUUUAAAUGUCUACAUUCAGAAAUGCAUCUAUGGUCUGUUUCUAAGACCUCACAUCACUUCUUUUCAGCAUCAGCACACUCAUGUACAUGAUAAAUGCAUCACUUUUUUUGGUUGAUAAUUAUAUCUGCAGUCAUUUUCAUAUCUGUUUUUAACUUUUUUAGCUAUUUUUUGCCAGUACUGAUAUCAUUCCAGUAACACUGCAGUACCUAAUUUGCACGUCUGCCUCCAUGUUGAAAAAUGCUCGGGCCAGACCAGUUAGUCACAUGCAUGCACACAGACACUAAAACCCUCAUCCAUCAUCGACAUGCACUCUGUCACCUACAGAUAAACCACUGAAGGUAUUACAAAAACUCACACAACCUUUCAUAAAUAUCAGUAACCAGAACAUGAGUGAUUGUCCAGUUAAAUAUAGGGACAUUAAUGGCCCAGUAGACACUCUUGUCAUAUGGCUUUAUGAUCCCUUUGACUCCUGAUCCCCUCAAAUCCCUGAUGACCCAGAGGCCAUGACCCUAGCAUCUGCCAGCAGCCGCAGAAAGGGGGAGGCAAGCGCCGACUGUACCCAGACAGAUGCUCUAUAAGAUAAAGUCUCUGUAUAGUGAAGCCUCUCGUACACUCUCUGUCUCACAGGGCAAGAUGAGUCAUUGGACAUGGAUCCUGACUUCUCUGGCUUCGAGCUACAUUCAAUGAUUUGAAGCAGACUCUUGAGAUAUCUGGAGGGAACGCCCUAUAAGGGUCCUGUUUGGUCUAAUACUGUGUCUCCGAGUAAAAAAUGGAUGCCUGCGUCUGAGGCCAAACUUUUGAACUUUAUUGUGUUGGCUCAGUGUUACCGAGAAAGGGAUGCCAUUUAAAUGCCACUGGUAAUAUUUGGUAUAUUAUGUAAGUGUGUAAAAACUUUCAGCAGUGUCAGAAUAGUGAAACAGACUAGAGAGUUCAGAGAGAGAUCAAGUGAGUAUGCUUAAUCUCAUCUUUCUGUGAACACAUGAUUAUCCUUAUGGUCUCUGGUUUUCAAAAGGAGAUUUGAUCGCUCUUUUCCCUGAAAGUCCACCUUUCUUAAGUUCACUUUAUCAUUGUUCGUUACUGAUGUAGGUCUGUAUAGAAUAAGCAAGACACUUGAGGCUGCCAUGAUUUAAAAAAUUGGAUCCAUACUUCAAACCAUCCCUCCAUCUCUCUCUCUCUCUCUCCUGACAGAAACUUGGCUCUCUUUGGAGCUUCAGAGGACUCUGUACUGCUCCCUUUACAUAUCCAAACAGCUCUUUCAACGGGCAUGUCAGUCAGAAAAAAAUGAUCUAGAAAGACUGGAAGACACCAACUUCUCCAUGCUUCAGAAAGUGGUUGCAUGAACUGGUCUCAGUGAUACACAUGGAGAAAUUGCGAGUUAAUGAUUCAGAAUGUAAAUAUAAAUGGGAAGAAUCUUGGGGUCUCUUCCUGCAACAUUUGCACUUACCUGGACAGCAGUGGUACCUGCAUGUAUUCACUGAUUUUAUUGUAUAUAUGGACAUUUCUAUUGCAGACACCUUGGAUGUAGUGCUAACACAUAUAGGAUGUGCAAUGAUUUUGACCUUGGAACAGGGUUUAGAUGAACUAUUUGUCAUAUAUGUACCUCCUCUCUGGCUGCGAGAGAGAGAGAGUGUGUGUGUGUGUGUGUGUGUGUGUGUGUGUGUGUGUGUGUGUUCUAGUGUAGGAUAUUUUUUUUGUUUGCAUUUUGUUGUCAUAAAAAAACAAAAAAACAAAACAGUCUUUCAUAAGUCAUGGGAUGGCAUAGCCCGUAACAAAGUAUAGCUUUUUCAUAACAACAAAUUUACUCUCAUGAGCAUCUUGGAAUGAAGUUACACACAGAAAAAAAGUAAAAUAAAAAUGUUUAUUUUCUGAUAAUUCAUCAUCAUUCAUAAACACUUUUUUCCUUAGUAUGUUUCCCAAUGAAAAACUGACUCAUGUAUGAAUUUUCAUUACUAUAUGGAUCUGCUUUUUUUAUUUUUUGUUCUUAAGGAAAGGGUUCAGUUGAAAUGUGUGUUAUGUCUCCUUUCAUUUUUAAUACUCCAAUUUAACAAAUUUAAAAUAUUUUUUGCGAUAGUUGCAGUAGAAGAGAAAAAAAAACAUGAAGCGAAGCUUGAAAAUGUUUCUUUGCGUAAUGUUUGACCUUCAUUUUAAUUAAUUUUUGCCAGAGUUUCGUAUUACCUUAACUUUUUGAGUCAAUGGUGAAGGUUCUUGUUUGUUUUUUUUGCAGAAUAGUUAGAUAUCCACUUGCUCACAGCUCACCUUUUUAUGCUUGAGAAAGAUGAGUUGACUCUCUAAGUAGAGGAAACUUAGUUAAUGUUGAAGUUAAUCAUUUAAGUAGAAUCCACAUUUAAGCAUAUCCUAUGUGAGGGCUUCCAUUGUAUUAUUAAUAUGUGCGAUUAUUGGAUCUGCUGCCUGUGCUCUUUAUGUGUGCAGCGGUGCACGAGUUUGAUGUGUGCAAGUAAAGCUGUUUUCUCUCUCCUUCCUGUGUGUUCUGAAAUCUCCUCUGCUGCAGACAGUCUGGGGUGCAGAGAUGGUGGAUGGGGGGGGCGGCGGCGUUGGGGGUGGGGAGGAAGGCAGCGGACGUGGCGGCAGGCCAGAAUCAAUUGGCAGUGUAAUGAGAUGGCCUGGUGCCAGGUAACCAUGGAGCUCCCCUCUCUGCCUGUCUACCAGCACAGAGUUCAAAAUUAAACUGAAUGAAUGAGAGAGAGAGAGACAGAGAGAGAGAGAGAGAGGAGGGAGGGGAAAUACGGGUCUGAAAUGGAAGGAGUGGAGGGUGAUAGAAGGGAAGAAAUGGCUGGAGAGGAGGGUGGUUGAUGAGGCUCUGUGGGCUAUUUUCAAGCACUGCUGAAAAAUUUAACCUCAGCUUCAUUUCAAAGAAGGAAGAGGUAGAGGUAAACUCAAUUCCACCUGAGAUUUAGGUUCACAGGAAUUUUUCAAAAUACCACCGUACCUGGUGAUGCCUGUAUUUCAGUGAAGAAUAAGUGCUCUUCACAAAGAAAAGAAAACGUGACCUUCCUAAGUACUCUUCCUCAAUAUCCACACUGAGCUGCUCCUUUUAAAAGUCUGACGGCAUUAGUGGCUUUAAUGUGCCUGCAAAUCUCAUCCCUUCAUCCCCUUCUCGACCCACACUCUUCCUCCUGUCAUGGAAGAUGUGUUAAUAUUGAGCAUUUGGCUGCAUUCUUAAAGUGAUUAGUUCGAGCCAAUGAAUCCUGUAGAUGAAAAGAAAUUAAGUAAUUAAUACAGUAAUUAGAUCUUUUUCUUCCUCCUACAGCUUUACCCCUGCUAAGUCAUUGUGCUGGCUCCUUUCUUAACUCCCUGUGCAUAAAGCAUGUUAGGAAGCCGUGUGCCACCCAUGAUGGAUGGUUUUACUUGGUAAUUUGUCUCUGUCUGGUGAAUACAAUUUCCUGCUAUGUUGUCAAACACUGAAGGACAGUCAGAGGAUUAUUGAAACUGUAAAAAUUUUAAAUUGGUAUGUUUAUAUUAAGAUUAAAAUUAGAUUUAGCCUACAAUAGCUGGAUGAAGGUGCAGUUUUUGGAGUGUGUCAAGAGGAAACUGAGUUUAUGUCCAAAAGCACAGAAUCAUUCACUACCUCCCUGCUCAGUGAAAUGAAUGCAGUGGACUAUAUAGUGGGCUCAAUAGUGAGCAUAAUAGAAAACAGUUCAGACGUUCUCCUUGCUAGGGAUGCACAAUAUUGGCAAAAACUAAUAAUACUCUAUACGUUUCCUUUUUGGGAAAUAUAAUGCAAAAUGAAAAAUAUUGGUGUUCAUAAAUUGGGUUUUAUAUACCUAUCAACAAUUGAAAUUUCAGUAAUUCUAUUUCCAUCAUUUUAAUCUUGAAAUGUUCUUUUCUGCUUCUAAAUCAAAUCCCCAUCCUACUUUUACCACACUGUGUCCAACUCCCUGACAGCAGCUCCUACACUCACAGGAGAAGCUGAGGGACGAGAUGAGGAGAGAGUGCAGGUGGAGAGACACGUCGCUUCAUAAACUUUACAUAUAAACACAAUUAACUAACCUCACACCAGUCUCAGACAAGGCUAGAAAAUAUGUUUAAUCUCCCCCACUAACCCUGUGAGAGUAACUUCUAACUAAACAAAAAUCCAUUGACUUCUUGUACUAUUCUUGUGGCAAUGAAAUGGUUGACACAAUGAGCCCACCACCAUGCAGAUACAAUAUGUGUCUGGGGUAUUAAAGUUCUCUCUUAGAAUUCAGACAGCACUAUAAAACGGCAUAUUCGCUAAAUUGUGAAUUAUAUGGAGAUGUGGGGGUGAUUUUGGUCCCAGCACGACUUGGAUAUUCGUCUUAAUGGGUUAAGUAGGACUAAAAGUUUGAGCUUGGUGAUACUUGUCUUUUUUUUGUUCUUCGUGUCUCACAAAGAUAAGAUUUUUAAAAAGUUGAUUGAUGUCUUACACAUUUAAAUUUCGGAAGAUGCAGUAUGCCUGCUUUCUUGCACAGAGAGGAAAAAGUUACAAAGUGUGGCGGUUUCAACCCUCAGCACAUCUAAUCAACACAGUCUCUGGACAUACUAUUAGCCACAACAACAAUAAUCUAGUCCCCACCAAACAGGCUUGAGAAACGAAGCAAAUGCGGAAGUGCUCAAAACUGCAGUUACCCAAGUACCCGCUUGACGCUGGUUGCAGAAGCAUUAAAAACCAGAAACAUAUUAAUUUAGGGGGGAAAAAGGCUAUUUCUAGAGCAAAAGACCAUGUUUACAGCCUGGUUCAAAAAAUGUUCUUGGUCUAAGUACUUCUGAUUUCUCACAGCACAAACUGGAGUGAAUUUUCUUCUAAACCAAUUUGCUUUGAAGGUACUAAGAUUACGAGUUUCGCCAGAGAUGUGAGUGGCUUGACUAUUGGUAGAUCCACUAAAAGUUAAGCUGAGUCAGCGUUUACAAUAUGGCAGCAGCUACCAAUAAUCUUUGAAACUCUAUUUAUUAUACAUUCGAUGGUCAACACAGAUUUUGUUUAAUCAGUUACAGAUAUAAACUUAUAAACUAAAAUGGUUCAUAAACUCACAUUUCCAUCAAUAUUGUUGUUUGUCACAUUCUUAGAUUAUCAGUGGCCACAAUAUAUAAGAUUAGAUAAAAUAAGAUUAGAUAAGAAGAGCUUUAUUGAUCCCCAAAGGGAAAUUCAAUAUAUGUCUGUUUCACAGCACUUUUAAAAAAAAUGCUUAUUGCUCACAUGUGCUUUACUUGACUCAUAUUUUAUUUGGUUUUUGAUUAUGUUGAGUCAUAAAAUAGUUUUUUUAUGUCGAGUAAAUAUUUCAGUUGGUUCUUUUUAAGCUUUUUUAAAUUUACUCUCUUAGUCAUAGACACACUUUGAAUAUAGCUGGGCAUGUUUGUUAUUUAUGACCACAUCCCAUUAUACCAACAUCAAACAAUUUUUAUUAAGGGUCCUUUCAGUCUCCUAAACGUCCACCUGUGGAUGUUUGAGAGAAGCGCUGCAUUGAAAACCUUUCAAUAUCAACAUCACUGAUGAUUAAUGAACCUGUUAGAGUAAUCAAAGCAUAGGAAAAAAUACACACAAUGUUAUAGUUAUAUCAAAUAAUGACAAAAAUAGAAUUAAAUACUGGAAACAUGAGGUGUAUUUUAAUUUAAUGAAUCUAAAGGACUUCAAAUUGUGUCAUUGCACAGAAAGAAUAAUGAAAACACUUUUGAUACGCCUGUAGUAAAACAUAGUGCGGUUGUUUUGUAGAUUAUAAAAGAUGGGUUUGAUAAUUUGACAGUCUGGAUUCGUGGUUACACAAGGGUCAAAGGAAGUAUCUGUCUGAUCAAACAUAGAUUGAAAAAGUCAGAAGCUGCAGAUUCCCUGUGUCUCUGAAUUGGGGCCAGCAUCUUCACUGUCUUUAGAAACCAGCUCAAACAGGGCAGAGCCAGCCACAUAUCUCAGGCUGGCCAGAGCCGGCUGAAGCAGGCCAUCCGUUUGCUUUGUGCUGUUUUUCCUGCAGUAGUGCGAGUAAAUGUUAGGCAUGGCUGAACAUACAGGUUUUAUACUGAGUAAGGACUGGAGUGCUGCUUAUCCUGAUAUGACCUCUGCUCUCAAUGGGAUGCUGUCUUCCAAUCAGCGGUAUUUAAAGUGGGAGGGAGACGUGAUAUACUCAUCUGUCUGUACAGUAAAAAGCAUGUUCAGCAGUGGGCCUCAUGGCCUCUGAAAAAUGUCCGGGCACUCUCCACUGAAACGGCCCAGACUUUGAGAGUUUUGAGUGCACAUUGAGAGAGAGAGACGAGACAGUGGGCCAAGAUGUCUGUGGUGUGGAUUAAUGGGGAGGACUGGAGAAAGGGUGCCGCAGUUGUGCGUGAGCAGAAUAUUUGAUGGGGGAAGCAUGAGGAGGGAAAAGUGAGGGACAAGCAACUGCAUGAGAUGGGCAAGAUGAAAGGGGGGAACAGAUAAAAUUGGACUGAAACAUCGAGAUGUAUGAACAUGAAUCAAAAUCUACAGUAUUAAAUACUUCUGCUGUCUGGCGUCUCCCACUGGUGCUUUAUCUUGUCUGAUAGCACUUCACAGUGUGCGCUUUACACUGUGGUCUGUUGCACUGAGCUCAGCACAGGGAUAAAAUCUACAUAAAGGCCUUCACAGAGAGUUGAAAUAAAGCCUGAGUGGGACAUAGAUACCUCUGAAUGAAACACAUACAGAGACCAAUUUGAGUCAAAGAAUGAACAAAGCAAGUCACGUCUUUUGGAGUGCUCGCCCAAAAUAAUUUUGUUUCUGUGAGGCUCUGCUGUGUGCAUAACUGUAACCUCUAUGAAAUAACUGAAGUACUUCUUUUGUCUUUGCUUUUCCCACGAAGUUUCUGGCUCACAGAUGGAUACAGCUCGUGUCCUUAUGUCUGCUUUUGGUUGCUGUGACCAUUCUGGUAAACAACAUUUCUUUGUAGACAAAUGCUGACUUCACAUUCACUGUAGUUUUUUUGAUCCUGGUAUAUUCAUUAAGAUAUUAUUUUAAGUUGUGUGUGAAGCAGAUCAAAGCAUGGAGAUACUGUUAAAACCAAUUAAAUGUUUCAUUCACAUUUUUACUGACUUUACCUUCACUGAUUCUUUUUAAAACAAAAACCAAAUAAAUGUCAGAGAUAUAACUAACUUUUGCAAGCUUUUGAGCGUGGACUGUGGGUGUCUAGGGAAGGAUUUGACAGCUGUAACCAAACUAUUAAUAUCAGCCAUUAUUACUGCCCGCCCCCUGGGGUGUUGGAUUAAGCUUUAGUGACUCUAAAAAGAUUCUGACUUUCCCUGAAAAGUGUGCAGACAAGAACAAAAUCCAAAAAGACGAGCAGUAGUGGACAUGCUGGGAAACAAAAGAUACUCACAAGUACCAUGGUUAUAAAUGACUCUGACAUAUACAUGAGACAUAAAGCUGCUCCGACUGAAAUAUUAUUACAACCUUAGAGGAGAAAUAUAAACAUUAACAAGAAGGUAGUAAAUUACUGAUGUGGCUCAAGUCUCCCUGUGAUAUUCUGUGCAUAAAGUAAACCCUAUAUUCUUACUUGUAUAGAUUAUUGUAGACAUAUACAUAAUUUAACAUGUUUUAGUUGAAUGAAAAGAUUCAGUUUCAUAAAUUUUUGUCAGUCUUAAUGUGAAACUCACUGUUAAAAUGUUGCUGUGCCUCAUAAUCUGAAGUAAGAUUUAAUUCUGGAUUAUAUGUAACCUAAUGAUACACAAACGUGAGGAUGCUUUGAAAAACCAGAUAACUUCAAUAGAGACAACUAUGGCUAAAAUGUUGUGUUAGAAUUUUUUGAUGGCUACAUAGGCACUCCUUUUUUACAGUUUAAAUCAUUUAAUAUAAUGUGAUGUACAUCUAUGCUGAAGCUGUAUAAUUUACCAGUGCCAUAAAACAACACAUGACUCAGAUAGGAGAGUCACCGGGGAGAUUUGUCAUGAAGUCGUCUUUUACUGAAUGUGGCUGUAAAAUGCAAAAUUAAGUCAAAAGUUUGAAAGCCCAACAACAACAAAAGUGUUUCUCUAUUAAAUCGUUCACCUCACCACUUGCUUGACCGAUUGACUUGCUAAGUUACGAGAUUGUACCCCGGCGUCACUGCAGUUUCUUUUACAUUACUGUACAAAUAACGUGGUAUGGUUGUUCCCCUGUUGGUGGCCCACUUUUUAGUGCUCGCUUUCCCAGGCUCUGAGAGUGCCUUUCAGGGGUUACCUUGUGAGAAGUUUGGGGUUAUGCCCAUGUCAGUUGCUCUGUUUUCUUCAACCUUGUGUUUUGGAGAGGCUCUUUUCUGCGACAGGUUUCUUGGCAAUAUCCUGAAAGUCAAAUCUGGUCAUUUAGAUUCAAGUGGUGACCAUGGAACAGACAGCAGCCCAUUGGCAUGCUGUUGCAAAACUAGUAGUCAGGACUCUUGAAAUCUAAAACAGCAUACAUAGACUAGUCUUUUGGAGCAAUGGGGAGACACUUAAGCUAAAAGACACUCAAGUAGGGGAGAUUUUUCUAAGUAUGGUGCUUUAAUUUAGUGCAGGUACACAACAGAGUCAAACAGCGACUUUUAGGUACAAAAUGAUGCUUCCAGUCUUAGCGAAGACGAGGGCUGGAUGAAAUUAUUGUGCAGUGUUUUACAUAGAGAAAGAGGACACCCAUAUAUUUAUAUUGCACUGUAUGAAAGCGGGAUAGAUUUUGAUCAAUUUAUUAGAUUAGUCUUUAGAUCAAUAAUUUGGAGUGUGGAAAAACAAAAUACGUUUGUAAGGUAGCAUGAAUUUAGCAAGCAGCGUUUGAGCGAACGGACCACGUUUUCCUCAGCAAUGUAGCAUUUUUACUCUUCUUCUUGCUCUUCAUGCUCUAAGCCUCAUCAUUUCUUUCUUUUAAGUCUUUGUCAUAUUCUGUAUCUGAGGAAAGUUUUAGGAACAAGGCUCAUAAGCAAUGAACAGAGGCCCGAGAACAGAGCCAUGAGAUACUCCUCUAGAAAUGCCCAAAAUUGGUAUGUAGCACUUUCACUGUGCUGUUCACUCUUAUACUGUGUUGUUAUAGGUGCUAUUCAGGAUGAUAUUCAUGAUCAUCUAAUGUUAUAAGUCUGGGUAGAAAAUAUACAUGGUACAUUAGCGUGAUGAAAUUAAGAGCACACAGUUAAAUUGAAGAAAUUAAAAAAUAUAUAUCUUCAAAUCCAGUGCUUAAAAAAAGAGAUGAAAUACUGAUAAGCUAUCAUUGUCAUAGAAACUAAAAGCGACUUGUCCUGUCAGGUGUUCAGGGUACAUUCAAACAGAGUGUAAUAAAACAUGGGGACAGCACAUUACCAUAGACAGCAGGUCGGAGCGUUAGGAUGUGGGCACACAGUAAGCCGUAUCAUCCUCACUCGUUUGGAGUCGAAGCCUUCCCCUGCAUGGUGGCCCAAAUAGAGUUUCUCAUGGACUCACAGCACAGCUGUAUGCCAAUCCUCUGUUCUGAAAGACGGCUAAUGGGACAAAGGGCACGAGUGAGGCAAAGGGAAACGAGGGAGAGAUGCUUGCUGAGUCGCCCAGCCCUCCCCUGAGCAGGACGGGGAGCACCACUCUUCCUCACUGCUCAGAGCUGCUUUCCCCCGGCCCUCAGCCAUUUUGGAGAGAGGAAAAAGUGGCUGCUUUCUCUCUCCCUCUCUCACUACGUGGCAUAGCUUUGGAAAGGUUUCGGCUGCUGUUUUGUAGGAGCAGAGAAGAGACAUUUUGCAGCUCGCGUUUGGGGGAUAAUGUGUUUGCAGGGAAAAAAUCUGACGCGAAAAACAACGUUCUUCCAUCUUGACUUUUUUUUUUUAAUGAAUUUUCGUUUCCCUUGCAUUCAGCUGCUAAGCCUCUCUCCUCUUUGCUGUGCACUUUCAGUCAUGCUGUGCUCUUUCUUUCAUAACUUGUGCUCUAGUUUAGUUGUCGGGUGCUUUCCCUUGUCUAUUUUAAAUUAUACCUUUUGUCAUUUCUCAAUUUGACUGUGUUUAAGACUAAAGGAUAGGUCCAAAUUUUGGCAGAAGUACGAAGAGACAGAGCUGUAGCCAGAGAUCCUGCUGGGAUCCAAAAAAGCCAAACAGAAUGAAGCACCAAAAAAAAAAAAAAAAAGAAAACACCACCCUUUCCUUUGCCUGAUCACAAAUUCCACUUUUUCUGUGGCCAGCCCUGCGCUGCGACUCCUCCUCAUCCACAUCUUACCGCAUUCAACCUUUUGCCGUUUCUCUCUUGCCGUACCUUUUUUUAAAGGCGAUUUGAGGUUUUUGUGUCCCGGAAAAACAGUAAAUGGACAACGGGUCAGGAGGGCUAACAGGGGGAGAACAAGGGGAUGUUAUUUUCCUACUUUUGCUUGUUAUUCAAUUUUUUUCUUCUGUUGCACUGUAACUGUUUUCGGGUCGUUGUUGUAGUGCUAGUAGUGUUUAGUUUUGUGUGCUGUGAGGAGGUGCUUGGAUCACCACGUGUUUCUCGUUGUGUGGUUUAAGGAAUAUGUGUGCAGGGGUAUCUAAUCUGUCAGUUUAAGACAUUCUGUUCUGCUCCCAGUAAUGAUUUGUAAAUCUGCUUUUUCUAGGUGUCUUGAUUACGCUGAAGGAUUGGCCUACACUGCUCCUCAUGCUUGACUCCAGCUGAUUCCAGAGGAUGUCUUGACCAUCACUUCCAGCGUGUGCCUCACUGGUACGUUAGCGAUUAUUUCACUUACAGUUUUCUUGUUUCUUUUUCUUUCUUUUUGUAUCCUAAACCCCACCCAGUGAUGCAUACCUGGUGUGUUGUUCACGUUUUUUUUUUUGUUUAAAGGUAGUAAGGUCAAGAGAGACAGCGUUACUUACUGAGGAAAUGCAGAAUUUCUUACAUAGUUGCAAGGACAUAUUCACAAAUUUGCUACUUCUCUUUAAAAAUGAUACUCCUGUCAUACUGUGUAUUCUGUAGAGGUUUGAUUUCAUAUGUUUUAUCACUCUCACCUGAUCUUACUUGACAAUAUUCACCUGCAGACGUUGGAUUUUUGUGUGUGGAUUUUUUUGUCUGUGGACAGCGUAUUUGUUCAGAAUCUUUCUGCUGAGAGACAAUUGCUCUCCUCGUGGUUUUGGGACAUUUUGUUCACAUCGUGGUCAUUUCCAAAAAAUGCCAGAAAUUCUGUUUUUAACUCAAAUUCAUUUUCAGGAUUCGAAUUAUUGAUCAGAAGACUGCAAUCUACAUGUUUGUGUCUUGAAAUGAAAAGAUUCAUUUUGUUAUUCUGUCUGACAUUUGUAAAGUAAGUGUUGACCUCAGAAGAAUGUGAUCAGUAGGUUACACAAACACCACGUCUGUCUCACAGUCAUGUGCUUUCGGCCUGUGCGUUGGGCCAUGGUUAAAUUCGAAGGCUUUUCUUUAUGAGGUACACAAACAGCAGAUAUACUAAAUAGCUGCAUUUAAAAAGUUAUUAGUAAAUAAUAACACAGCGAAUAUUUAAAAAUAACAGUAUUUAAUUUGAUUCUCGGGCAAAGCGAUUGAUUCAGACACUACUUUAAAACUAAGAAUCACUCGACUCUUUCUCAGGUCAUUUAAUACACUUAAGAAGAUUUUCAAUUCAACGCUGAGAAUUAUUUUAACUUCAGUUUUGUGUUUUUCGCUCUGACGCGUUUGCGUUAACGCCCAUGGUUUGCAUGUUGAAUAAGUCGUGUCUACAGGUCCAGAUUGUAGUUUGUCUUCCUGCUCCCAUGUUUUGUGAGAUAUGUCCUUCUUAUUUGCUCUUGAAGGGGUUAUGCCAGCUGCCACAAACCCGUAGAUCCGAACUUGUGGUGACUGGCUGCACAAGCUCGUAUCUAUAGGUAUGUGUCUUCCUGGCAAACACAGCACCUGCCCUACAGCAUGCCUGUAAAUACACAAGAAUAAUAAUAAUAAUAAUAAUAAAAAGUAACUCAAUGUAUUUAUCUUCAAAACAAACACCUUUGUAACAUCGAGGGUUAUUCUUAGACUUCUCACAUGUUCUCUUUAGUGUUUUUAAAAUCAAGCUUUGAUGGUACUCUGAUGACUGACAACACCCAUGUCUGUCAGAACAGGAUAUUCUCCUCUAAACUUCUCCCUUGUGUCCCAUCUGUAUGCAGUAACCCCACCCAAGUGGGAGGGCUGGACUCUAUGACGAUGUGACACGACAUAAAAAUCUUCCUCGUAUCCUUGGGCAGUGCAGCAAAUCAAUGAACAGAACUAUUUCAUAGUAAUACUGACUUUGCAGGACACAUGAAUAAAGGGUAA